rnacentral:rRNA from 1 species
AUGAGAUUUCCCAUUACGCAAGUAAGUAAGAUCCCUCAAAGAUGAUGAGGUGGAUAGGUCUGGGGUGGAAGUACGGCGACGUAUGCAGCUGACAGAUACUAAUCGAUCGAGGACUUAACCUAUU